AUGCUAGAGGACAUUGGGAAGCUGCCAUCAGUUGACUCCACCAUUACAAAAGCUAGAGCUGUGACGGUUUUCCUUUAUGCACACACAAGGGUUUUGAACCUAAUGAGGGAAUUCCUUAGUAAAGAUUUGGUUAGGUCUGGUAUUACAAGGUUCGCUACAGCAUACUUGAACUUGAAAAGCAUGCUGGACAACAAGAAACAACUCCAGAAACUAUUUAGAUCAGAUGAGCUUGAUGAAAUGGGAUAUUUAAAAAAGGUUAAAGGAAAUGAAGCUAGCAAAACUGUGCGCUCUGAAACUUUUUGGAGAGGAGUAGACAUUGUUGUCAAGUUCUUUGAGCCAUUGGCUAAUUUGCUCGGGAGGAUGGACAGCGAUGUACCGGCUAUGGGAUUCAUAUACGGCGCCUUUUUGGAUGCCAAGCAAGAGAUCAAAACUAAGUUUGAAAAUGAACAAGGAUCUUAUUUUCAGGAAGUGUUGGAUAUUGUGGAUAAAAGAUGGGACAGCAAGUUGAAGGGGCCACUACAUAGGGCUGGAUACUUCUUAAAUCCAUACUACUACUAUGAAAACAAGAAGCAAAUUGAGUUAGAUGGAUCAUUUGAAGCUGGGCUUGUAACUUGCAUGGAAAAAAUGGUUGAAGAUGUUGUCCUUCAAGACAAAAUCAAUGAUGAGCUUGUGGCAUAUCGAAAGGAAUAG
rnacentral:rRNA from 1 species